rnacentral:lncRNA from 1 species
CAGCUUUAAUAGCCUGAGGGCUCAAAAUGUGACCAUUUCCUCAUUCCACAAACUUGGAAGGUAUGUUUCAAAAUAAUUGCCUUUUAUAGAGAAAUCUUUCUUUUCCAGCAUUAAUGAGCUAUCUCAUGAGUGUAUACCCAUGCAUAAAAUAAUCUUUAGCAGGUUCACCUCUAGAAACAACUGCUUUUGGAACCCUGUUUGCAUAAAAUCACACAAAAGCACCUAUUCCAGGUAAGACACAGGAACCUCCCCAUGUGUGUGUCCUGCUCCAUGGACACCCUAGAGAACAGCCUGAAAGUAAGUCACCAUUUGCCCCCAAAAACUAUAGAGUGGGUUGAGAAAAGAACAAAGGAGUACAUGCCCAGGCUGGUUUGAAUUCUUAAGUGUGUUCAACAGUGUGACACUAUCUUCAAGUUGAAAAGAUUGUUUUGAAAGGAACCCAUCGUGUCCCUGUGUGGGCGGUCUAUCCACUGGCCAAGUCAAUAGUUGUGAACAAGUUCGUUAAGACAAAAUGUAUCAAAAAUGUUUGAGUUCCUGGGAUUUUGUAAUAGCACACAACUCGGAUCUCGUCACCAUCUGUAUUUCCUUCGCUCCGGCUGAUGAAAAUCUGAAGGGUCGUGGCUUACUUUUUUUUUCAUUUCUAUGGCUUUGUGCAAUUUUCUUGUAACUUAUACCAAUAUUUUCUGUUUACAAGUUCUUUUAAAGGGGAGGGGUAGGGUUCUAAGAUCCUGUUGUUUGUUGUAGAUAAAUUUUUUUUCAUAUUGUAGAAAAGCAUGGGUUAUGCGUUUGACUGAAAAAGGCACUGUAUCAUUUACCAAAGGGGUUGUAAAUUUGGACAUAAUUUCUGAGUUUGUUACUACUGGCAUUUCCUUUUUUUCCUUUUUUUUUUUUUUUUUUUAAAUGUAAGUGCACGAUGCAGGUGCACAGGUCCCAGACCAAACCAGACCACCAGCAUGUUCUUAUCCAAACCUUGGGAAUAGCGCCGCUGCUUUGUGCACCUCAGUCCCUCCAGUGUUGCUUUGUUUGUUUUUCAAUUUCAGCAUCCUGCUUUGUUUUACUUUCCAAACAAGAUCUGUUGAGAUCCCCACUUGCAUUCUAACAAGCUCGCCCUUAUUUGCCUCUCUUCUGAUGUAUUUUGUGUAUUAGAUGGGGAGGUAUUCUAGAAGGCAUUAAUGGUUUGCAUUCAAAAUGACGUGGUUUGUCCAAAUUAUUUUCUGUCUUUAUUACUGAGAUGGAUUA